CCGGCCAGAGUUGUUUGUUUUGAGACAGGCUCUCUGUCGCUCAGGCUAGAGGACAGUGGUAAGAUCUUGGAUCACUGUAGCCUUGAACUCUUGGGUUCAAGGGAUCUUCCCACCUCAGUCUCCUGAGUAGUUGGGACUACAGAUGCGCGCCACCACGCCUGGCUAGUUUUUGUGUUUUUGUAGAGAUGGGGUCUCGCUAUGUUGCCCAGGCUGGUCUCAAACUCCUGGACUUAAGUGAUCUGCCUUCCUUGGCCUCCCAUCAUGCUGGGAUUACAGGCAUGAGCCACUGUGUUGGCUGCAUUUGGGUUUUAUAUAUUUUUAUUUAUUUAUUUAUUUUGAGACAGAGUCUUGCUCUGUCACCCAGGCUAGAAUGCAGUGGCAUGAUCUUGGCUCACUGCAACCUUUGCCUCCCAGGUUCAAGCGAUUCCCCUGCCUCGACCUCCCAAGUAGCUGGGAUUACAGGCGCCCGCCACCACACACAGCUAAUUUUUGUAUUUUUAGUAGAGGCGGUGUUUCACUAUGUUGGCCAGGCUGGUCUUGAACUCCUGACCCCAGGCGAUCUGCCCAACUCGGCCUCCCAAAGUGCUGGGAUUACAGGCGUGAGCCACCACGCCCAGCCGCAUUUGGAUUUUAUAAUAAGCUUUGCUGUGCAGGAGAAGUGGUCCCUGGCAUCCCAGCCCCCUGGCCUGACGAGGUUGGAGGGCUCCUUGGGCCCCCACCACUCUGCUGCAGCCAGGGUGGGUGCAGGGCUGGGAGGGUGAGCCACGAACUUGACAUCGGUGACCUUCACUGCCACCUGGUGGACAGCCUGGGAGUGGUAGCUGGUGGGCUGGGCGGCGGAAGGGGUGCAGUGUCCCGGCGAAAAGGGGUGCAGUGUCCCGGACGAAGACGGCUGAGCAUCGUGGAGACCAGCAUAGAGAGGCCACAGCAAGUGGGGUGUGACAUCAGGGACAAGGGAGAGGUCACAGACUCGGACAGUGGCCGUCCUGUGCUGGCCCCUGCAUCUGGGUGGUUGGCAGGUGGAGCACCAAGAUACAGGGUUGAUAGGACUAGGCUGGAAUCCUGGACUCUCUCUGAUCCCGGCAAAGUAACAGAAGCUUCUCCUGUCCUGUCGCUGAUCUUUGGAAGGGAGGAAUGACACCCUCCUCCUGGGCUGGCGUUGGGAAGAGAAGCUCCUGCGUGUGAAACAGCUCCACCACCAAGCGCCUGCAGACGAGCGGUGUGUUCCGCCUGGAACCUGCCGAGGGAACGUGUGGGGAAGGUGUGGCCGCCCUGGGAGGCUCAGCUCUGCAGGAAAUUCGCUCCUUCUGAUGUGCGUUUCAAACGGCCCUAUGACAUCUUUUUCUUAAAUUGAGAUGUUCCGUGGCUGUGUGUGCCCUACAGCAGCACAGUUCAGUAGGCAGAGGCCACUUCUACUACCCAGCUAAGGAAAAGAUGGGCAGAGCCUGCUCUGGAUGACGCUGUGUUCCAGCCGGCGGAGAGGGUCCCCCAUUUCCUCGGAACUAAUCCUCCAGGAAAUUAACAGACAGUUUGCUGUGGACAACUAGAGCCCUCCCCUUCCUUAGCCCUGAGCGAGGUAAACAAUUCUGCUCUGCCUUCCGGAAGUUUCAAAUUAGCUCUUCAACCAGCGUUUUCACGCAGCUUCCAGUCCUGCCACAGUCUUGAAGAAGAGAUCAGCUUUCGAGUCUUCAUUCUUGCCAAGAUUAGCUGCCCUUCGAAUCUCCCGUGUGUCAUUAAUCCCAGCACGAACAAGCACUUGGGAACUGCGGGCUGCAGAUGGUCUGCUUAUCCUAAGGAACCCUCCUCUUUUGAGGCUUAACCCCGUUAGUCUUUGUUGCUUCUGCAGCUUUCUGAUGCCAUUAAAGAGAUGAUUUUUAUAUUUUUGCCUGGCCUUUCUAGUUCUUAGUGGGAGCAUUGAUCUGCUGCACUCCAUCCUAC